rnacentral:lncRNA from 1 species
CUCUCGGCCAGAGAGGCUGUGAGGGUGGCUUUGUGAGGAUGGCUUUGUGUGGCUGCACAUUGCCCUUGGCCAAGCCCCGCUGCCAGGAGAGGCAGCUCGGCUGCCAAACCUCCUGAACCCAAGUUACCUGAGCAAGCAGCCCUAUCCCCUCGCCUGCUUCUCACUGCCUCGCCUGCCUUGGGCCUGCCCGACCCAGGGGGUCACAUGCCUUGUUCCCCAUCAGUGGAGACCAGGGACAAGAAGACAGUUCUGUGGGAAGAGCCAGGAGGACCAUUUGGGAAAAUACAGGUUCCAGGUGUGUCUCCAGACCUUGAGAGUUGGUGUCUCCUGGGAAGAGGCCCUGAUGAGAUCUGGGGAGAUUCGGAUCUGAUGAGAUUCAGGAAGCCCUGGCCUCUCCGUACUUGAGGAGACGGGACACACAGGACAAGCUGCAGGCUGGUGAGCAGGUUCACCUUCUAUUUUGAAGACCCGCUUCUUCCUCAGGUACCUGAUCUUGAAAACGACCUCCCCUUUCAGGUCACCUUCUGCCUGACUCCUACAUCCCUUUCAGAAGGACCCUUGUGAUUCCAUGAGGUCCACCCAGAUCACGCAGGAUAAUGUCCCCGUCUCAAGAGGCUUAAUCUAAUCACAGUGAAAACCAUUUCCUCCUCGUCGUGGCGCAGGUCCAGAGGCUGCGCCCAUCUCUCCCACGUCAACAGUCCUGUGUCCUUGGCGAAGGACUGUUCUCUCAUUCAGUGCCUUUCCUCUCUUCCUGGGCCAAAUCCCUGCUUUGCGUCUCCCUGCAGCUCAUAAAAAGCUGAAUUACCUGAGGCAGGGAAAGCCCCACCCACUGUCAUUCUCAGGGAGGAGUGGAGUCUGCAGAGGCCGCAAUGCACAGCUUCCCUAUCCCCCUCCACCCGUGUUUUCCCAGAGCAGCUCUGUUCCAGGCCCGGGGGUGUCCCUGGGCCGAGAUGGAAUCCAGCCCUGACCACCUCCCAAAGCCAACAGCCCUGAGUGAGCGUGCAGAGAAGCAAGAGCUGUUCCUGAUGCAGAGCAAAGACAUCUCCCAGUCAAGGGGGAUGAACUGAUUUGGGACAAAAGGCAGUUGUUGGCUGAGGAAGGCAGGAUCUGGGGGAGCCCUGUGCUGAGUGGAGGUGGGUGGGUGUAUUUCCUUGGCUCACAGAGGCCUCUUGUCUGGUGGGAUCAGCUCCUCCAGCCAGUUGCCACCUGGUCCAGCUUUGGGAGAUGUGGAGAAUGACUUUCGCAGUGAUUUCCACUGGGCCAUGGCAUUGAAACAGCUGCAGGAGGGGACACAGCUGGUGCCACCCCUACUCCGUCCAUUAGAGCUGCUGUGAAGGAAUGCCACCCUCCCCAUGGGGAGUGAGGGGGCCCUACUUGCUGUGGUUGGUUCCAGGGACCAUGGGAAGAGGCAAACCCCUAUUUUCAAGGGCACAAGUUGGCUUUUAUUAAAAUAAAAUUUCAUCAUCACUUAUUCCAGUGGCUCCCAAACUUGGCUAAACAUCAGGAUCACCCAGGAUGUUUGUUAAAAAAUAAAGAUUAUGGCCGGGUGCAGUGGCUCACGCCUGUAAUCCUAGCACUUUGGGAGGCCCAGGCGGGCAGAUCACUUGAGGUCAAGAAUUCGAGACCAGCCUGGCCAACAUGGGGAAAUGCUGUCUCUACUAAAAAUACAAAAAUUAGCUGGGUGUGGUGGUGCAUACCUGUAACCCCAGCUACUCGGAGGCAGAGGCAGGAGAAUUGCUUGAACUUGGGAGGCAAAGGUGGCAGUGAGUCGAGAUAGCGCCACUGCACUGCACUCCAG